rfam:Tannerella sp. CAG:51 genomic scaffold, scf247
GGGCGUUUAGCUCAGCUGGUUCAGAGCAUCUGCCUUACAAGCAGAGGGUCGGCGGUUCGAAUCCGUCAACGCCCA